rnacentral:rRNA from 1 species
UACGGAGGGGGCAAGCGUUGUCCGGAAUUAUUGGGCGUAAAGAGCUCGUAGGCGGUUUGUCGCGUCGGAUGUGAAAACCCGGGGCUCAACCCCGGGCCUGCAUUCGAUACGGGCAGACUAGAGUUCGGUAGGGGAGUCUGGAAUUCCUGGUGUAGCGGUGAAAUGCGCAGAUAUCAGGAGGAACACCGGUGGCGAAGGCGGGACUCUGGGCCGAUACUGACGCUGAGGAGCGAAAGCGUGGGGAGCAAACAGG